AUGGGGCUGGAGACGACGAGGGGACAAAGCCCCUCGAGGAAAGGAUGUGGUCCCAGCACAGGAUCUGCUCAUUUAACCGCUGGAACUGGGGGACAAAUUCCCAGCAUGGCAGCAGCGCAAACCCCAAUUCCUCUCCCCAUAGCACCGCGUCGCUUCCUUUCCCCACACCAACAGCCUUUCUCCACCAACUUUGCAUCCCAUCCUCCCCAAAAACCAACAUCCAAGAGGGACGGGAUGGGGCAGGAUGGGACGAGCAGCUCCGCUUGCACCCGACCACCUUAUAACAUCACCUUGCAGCCCGGUGCCCUCCUCUCUGCAUCCCAUACGAGGAUGGGGAUGUGCCAGCUCUCUCUUCCUGCAGCUGGAGCGUGGCUGUGCCUCGCACCGCUCCUACCUGCUGCUUUUAGCGAGGAAUCGGGUUGCCCUGGAGCCGGGUCUCCAUGGAAACUCGGCUUUUUCAGACACUCAAUGGAAGAUGCUGGCACGGAGAGAAUCCACAGGCGCUGCCCUGCCAUAGAGGCGUGCUGUGCUGCCAGCGGCCCGUCCUUCCCUGGGAUGGGGCAUCCAGAGGGAGAGACUGAGGCACAACCCCAGCACCGCAUCGAGCUGGCUGCAAGCUGGGGCUGAAUCCAGGCCUCCCACCCCCUCCAAGACGGAUGGCAGCAUGAAGGACACGGGCUGCGAACAGCCAAGGGUGUAAAAUAAGCCCGCGCGAAGCUCGCGUGGCUCAGCCAAACAUGGGGUGCAGGCUGCAUUCCUUGACUGGAAAGAAAAGCCAUUCCAGGCUUGAUUUAUUCAUUGGGUUUCAUCACAUUACACGAGCAGGAACUGGACGCAACCGACCCCCACCACCCUUCACUCUCCUUUGCCAAACCCUCAGCACAAACCCCACCAGACCGAGAGCCCGGAGCAUCCCAGCAGGGAGGGGACACGUGGGGACAGACGGGGAUGGCUGUGGGUCUGCGAUGCUCCCGGGGUGCUCAGCACGCCAGCACGGUGCCACGGAGCUGUAUUCAUCAACAGCAUCGUCUCUGGCUGAUUAAAAUUCCUUUAAGCCCACCCACCAGCUAAUCCCAGCCCCGAGGCCAGCGAUGCUGUCA
rnacentral:lncRNA from 1 species